rnacentral:lncRNA from 1 species
CAAAGUUCAUUUCCGCUUUGGUGGCAGACCUAUUGUCUUUGUUGCUGAUUUAUGUGCACUUACACCAUGCCUUGGGACAUUCAGUUGUUUCUGUUAUUCUUCAAAUACUCUGAAUCUGUGUGUCAAGGGGGGCAAAUUUGGAGCAAAACUUUGAAUUCAUGGUAAGCAUAGGACGGUUUCCCUGAUUCAGAGUUGUGGCAUAUAAUAGUCUUCACACAAAUGCAGCUUAUAAUCAAAUAUAUAUAUAUANUAUAUAUAUAUAUAUAUUAUGCACCCGGGUGUCAUGCCUUAUGACCCUUUCUUAAUAGCUAAUCAGUCUUUAGGCUGGUUUCACACGAAAAUACGAUUUGUACUUCUUACUUUAUUUGCUAGUGUUUGAAAGAUGUUUGCUCUUCACUUGCAUUUAUGCUCUUUGCUGAACAGCAACAUGCUUUUGCUUGUCCUCUGUUUUCUUAUACAUCCAGGAGCUUGUUUCUUGGUUCUUUCUUAUGUUAAUUCGCUUAGAAACACCAAUUGAUGCAAUUCCAAUGCAUCAUGAAGCUGCAAGAAUCGCUUCACAUGGUGUGUUAGUAUUCUACCAUGCAUAAAUUGGUCAACGGGGGGAAUCUUGGUUUUACUUUUGCCACCAAGUAGAUUAUAGAUAUCCAGCCUGUUGAUUAUUCUGUAGUACAUUAUUUGACACAGUACCAAGUAGAAACAUUUUUGGUUAAGAGGUAACUGCUCUCCUUGUGCAAAAAUCCUUGGGCCGGAUGACACCAUGGUAAAUUUCCCCAAAAAUUACACCAUCACAAUCUAGUACAGUAGUUGCCUAACAUCACGGAUAAAAUGGAUCACACUAGUUGUGAGGAUAACCAACUGACAUGAAGGAGUAUAUGAUGUUAAAAACAACAUUAGAACAAUCAUGAGAUUAUUACACCACUUUUGGCUCGAGGUAAAAAACCCCAAAAAUAUGGACUGUAAGAGCGAUUUGCAUCUGAUGUUCUUGUUCACGAUUAGUAUUAUUUUUUGGCCGUAGUGGACGAGCAGUUCGCAAGUUGCCUGGCCAGCAGCAGCUUUGAUUUACGUGCAUGGCAAGAACAAAUGGCGCCCUACCAAGUCAAGCAAGAGCAAGCACACAUCGUUAAUCAUCGUCAUCGUCUUUACGUUUCGUUCUGGGUGGCAGAGAGGCCGGAGGCGGACGUGGUGGUGAUCGGGAGCGGGNNNNNNNNNNNNNNNNNNNNNNNNNNNNNNNNNNNNNNNNNNNNNNNNNNNNNNNNNNNNNNNNNNNNNNNNNNNNNNNNNNNNNNNNNNNNNNNNNNNNNNNNNNNNNNNNNNNNNNNNNNNNNNNNNNNNNNNNNNNNNNNNNNNNNNNNNNNNNNNNNNNNGGGCUCGGGGGGCUCUGCUGUGCGGGGCUCCUGGCGAGGUACGGGUAGGACGUGGCGGUGAUCGGGAGCGGGCUCGGGGGGCUCUUCUCCGGCUUCUAGUCCAGAGGGCCCCAAGACAACCCCCUCACCCAGGUCCGUCACCCUCCAUUGGUUCGGUUCCUCUCCUGCAAACAACAACAGAGCAGAGAACAGGGAGAUUCUUUCAGACAAAUUAACUGUCCGAAGUCUGAACUGAACUUAUCAACAGAACAGGAUUGCCAGUUCUACAUGCAGAAUUGCGGUGAGAGCUCGAGGCUGGUCUUAUUUCUCAUGCAAUAAUUAUUGACUGGCACUCCGGCCCCAAGCCAUAUGGAUUGGUGUAUUAUGUUGCUUGAUUUAUUUUUCUUGAUUGUCUGAAGUCUGAACCGAACAUCUGGAUUUCUUGAUUAUUGCUAAAAAUGUUGGGGGUUCCUUGGUAGUUGCUACCUCUAUAAGCAUUACUCAGUCCCUCUCCAUGUAGAAAUUUUUCUGAUAGAGAUUAUGUUGUGCAAUAUUUUGUCCUGCGUUCAGAAAUUUAUUUUUGGAAUCUAGCCCUUUUUGCCGUCAUAUGCUUGUGAUCUCUUGAGAAAGCUUGCCGUGCUACUUGUUACAGUAAGCCACAUUUCGUUCUCAGAUGCUAUGUGCUGUUGUAAUCUUGUUCUAAAUAAUAAGGAUCCUUUCAGACUUCAGUCAUUCGUUGUUGGAUUCUGUUCUUAUAGCUGUUGUUGCAUAUGUUUUCUUAAUCUUGGCAUGCGAGCUUAAGCAGUUUCUUGUGAUGCAUCUUUAUUAUCUUUGUUAAGAAUUGAGUUAAGCUUCAGUAAUGUAUUCUGUACUGAACUUCUGAAUUCUUCUGAUAGCCAAUCUGCUACUGUUUUCUGAUAAGUACGAUCUGAACUGAGUUAAGUUUCUUGCUAUGAUCUGAAUUGAGCUAUUCUGUUACUUGCUGCUAGCAGAUUCGUGAUGAAACCGUCCGGUUCAGGAGCAGCAGAACCGGGCGAGGACGGCCACGACCAAGAACCGGCCCAUGAGCGCUCCUACGCCCCCUCCAAUGGAGCCGGACCCGCGGUGGCGGAGACGAGGGAGGCGCCCAACUCAUCUGGACUGGAGUGCGUUCCUGAGCGUUUCUUGGUUUCCUCUUGCGCAGUUCAACUCGUUGCGCACGGGAGAGGCAAUGCAGAGGAAGGAACGGGUAUGAUCUUACUGCUCGCUCUCUUGUGAUUUGUUGCCAAAUCUUUCUGGUGUGAUAGCAUGCUUUGCACUUGAUAGGAGGCGUUUCUUGAUUUGUCUAUUUGGUGUGAUAGCAUGCUUUUCACUUUUGCUGCGAGUGAAAAAUGUGGGGAUCAUGUCUUGGCAGUGCUUGCUGUCAUAUUUUGGCAAGAAGAAAUCUUGAUGCCAAAAUGUAUCAGUUUCCAUUGUAGAUGAAUGUCGUUACAGUAGUUUCCAAUCUGGAUGGCACUUGGCACUCACUACUAGCUCACAUUUGGCUUAACUUAAAGCAAUAGGUUGGCCUCUCAUUUGAGGUUAGUACAGUAGCAGAGAUACUUCUAAUCUACUUGUUAGACAUUGCAAUGGGAUCUGCAGUAGUUCUGUUUGUUUAUGAUUAUUCUGCUUUGUUCAACACAUGAUUUACACAUUGAAAAAACUGGUUACUCCUGUAGCAUUUGAACUCAGAUUUCCAUACACUACUGUUUGUGCAUUUGAGUAACUUGGCUCCAGAGUGUGUCAUCAUCGAGGUACUGUUAGAUAGAGCAUCUGUUAGUGGUCUUUCACUUGCGUGUCAGAUAGUGUACAAAUUAAUUGUUGUUUUGAGUUGGCGGUCAAACCAGCACUUUGUUAUCAUACUAAAUCGCAUGGGUUUUAUUGUAUUAUCUGGGUAGUCGCAAGCGAGGACUAGUUGUUCAGACUUAGGGGGUAUGUUCUUCUGAUUUGUGAUGCUGAUGGGACUUCUGCCUGUAGCAUUUGUCAGUUUAGUUGGACUGAAUUAGUGAUACAUAGCAUUGGCAACAUAUAUUACUAAAAAAUAAUUAUUAUAAAUACAUGUGGAAAAAUGUGCGUACAAGACUAGCUAAUUGUGUCUGCUUACUGUCUGGACGCAUACUUUGGUACGACGUACGUGUAUUGCAGAGUACCUUAACCAGUGAGAGUACCUUACUAUAUCAUGUCCAAUAAUAAUUACUAUUGUAUUUGAUGCUGCCUUUUUUUUGAGUUAUUUAAGUAUGGGUCAUUCGACUACAUUUUUUGCCUACAUACCGGUAUAUCUUACUUUAGAUUAAUCAUUUCAGCUUCACACAAUUAAUUAAGGCCAAAAGUGGUCAAUUUUAGGACUCUUCAUAAUUCAGCUGUCAUUUUUUUGUAUUGUUAUUGUUCAGUCCAUCUUUAUACGUUACAUCAGUGGUAGUUGGUUUAAUUGGUUAGACUCAAACUUCUCUCAUUUGAGUUCAGAAACAUUUGUCGCUUCAAGGUUUCCGCCAUGGAUUGCUUGUUUUUUGCCUUGUUUCUAUUCUUGAUCUGUAUCUUGUAGCUCUUACAAAUAUGGUUGUUUCUUCUACAGGACCUCCAGGCCUAAGAAAGUUGAAGUGCGAAGCCUUGAAGCCAAUUGUGUGAAGCUCUACUUAUCCAAGAAUGAAUAUUAUAUAUUGUAAUAAUAAACAUAUCUGCUUUGUAAUAGAUUGGAAAAAUUGUAAUAUACUACCUUUGUGUUAAUUUGAUGAAUUUCACAUGUCCUUUCUGCUCUAUUUGAAAUAUUCAUAUCGUAUGCGAUUUGAGAAUGUGUGAAAUGAAAACCUGAUCAAAACUUCUUGACAUAUGGGACAAAUUAUGACAAGAACAUGACAAA